UUUCAGAGAAAGAAAACAUUUAUUUAAAUAAAAUGAAAUCAGGUUCUUCCAGCAGUGAUGUCAUCGAGGCUUGACAUCCAGGUGGAAGUGACAUCAGCAGCAGGAAAGGCAUAUGGGCAUUUCAGAUUAAAAGGGAUAAGAAG